AAUCAUAGAUAUUAUGCUCACCUCGUGGUCAGUCCUAAAUGGGCCCAUGCUAUGUCCCUUAGUCCGCAUGGGCUAUGGACUGGGUUCACUCAAUGCCAUUUGUAACACUUAGGACCUCGUCCAGAAAGGCUAGUUGGAUGGUAUUUGGUUCCUUGGCCCUAUAUAAGUACCCAAUAUUUACCCAGUGUAUGGUCAAUGUGGGACUAAAUACAUGCCUGCACAAGCCCUCACAAGUAUAUAUUGGGAAUAUUAAGUGAGACUCCUUUUUUUUUUCUUGUAAAAGAGAAAUAAUCCUAUAACCUUUAUUUAGAAUCUCUUUCCUUUUCCAGUUCGUACAAAGAAAAUUGCACUUUUUACUUAAUUAUUUGAAUAAUUAAUUAUGUUAUUUGUUGUCUCUUAUGCUUUUUUUUAUUUUUUCCCACAUGUAACAUUCGUCUAAGUAUAGUCAAAUGUACGUGUAUAUCAGAUUUUCUGAGUUCAUCUUUUUAUUUUUUAUUUUUGAAAUUUUCUGCUUUCUUCUCACCUAGACAAAUUGUAGCUUAUUUUCGGACCUGCAACCAUGCCGGUUAGAGCAUUUUGCUGAUCAAAAGAAAAAAAAUGGUUCUAGGUGUCUUGUUUUAGUUGCAAUCCAAGCCACCUGUAUGCCUGCAGUGCAUUUUAUUACAUGGUAAUCUCAUUAAAAUGAUGAUACCUCCUGGUUUUAGAGGUGAGGAGUCAUGGGUUUGCUAAUAAAGAUAUUUUGUUGAUGUGCUAGGGCAAGCUGAUGAGAAUCUGUUUAAAAAGUGAUCAAAUAAAUUUUGAGGGUUCUCUGUUUGUUCUACCUCUCUAUCUCUCUUUUUUCCUUCCCUGAGUGCAUGUACCUUCAGAAGAUUGGUAGUCAGAUAUGUACCUUGUUCUUGACUAGCAUUCACAUUAUUUUUUCAAAUUACAUUUGGAUUAUAUUCCUCGCCAUUUCUACCAGCUUGUUUCCUGUUUUUGAUGCACUGCUACUAUCUAUUGUUACUUGAAUGUCCAUUGUUACUUUUUUGAUGAGUCUGAGACUGGAGCCACUCUAUUUAAAUGCAAGGAUGGACAGAGAGAGGGUAGAGAAGUGGAAGAAGAGAUGAAGGCCUUCUCCAAACUUGCUUACUUUUUGACUGGCACUUCUACUGCUGCACUCAUGGCCAUUUCCUCUGGAUAUCUCGAAGGUCAAACAGGACAUGCCCAUACAGUCGCUCUCAAGGUCUGCACCAUCUUCAUGGUGGUCACCUUCUUAACUGGUUGCAGAAUGCUGUUUCUAAUACUCAGUCGUAGCAGCCACAUCUCUAUUAAAUCCUUCAAAAGCCUCAAGUGGACAGGAUUGUUGUCGCUGAUCCUUUCGGUGUUUAGCGGCGCCAUUCUUUACCUAAAGAUGUUUGCCCUUCUGGCAUUCUUUAUAGCAAUGAUCCUAUUCUUUAUGGCUUGACAUCCAUGCAGUCAUCACCAAGGUAAUAGGGGCAUGUCAUUCAGACGUUUAUCCGAUUUCAUUUGAAACAUUUGGAUGCUGUUUGUUAUGGUUUCCUUACGUGUUGCUCUGGUGUCCUAUUAUUUAGUACUAUUGUUUACCAUUUGGUUAAUGUCAGUUGAGUCAACUACGGGAAUAGUGUUCUGUUAGACAAUUUACGGUCGUGGGUUAGUAUUCUGAUGGUUGUCUAUUUUUCAGCAAGUUUGUUUUUGUUGUUUUCAUUAUGUUGCACGUGGAUUCAUGGCAAUUAUGCCAGUAUUGUAUUUAAGCUGUGUUAACAAUAGAAAAAGGGAGAUUUAAUCACCCAAAUAUUUGGCUUAUUGUGGAGGUCGGGUUUCCUUGAAGAGACCCAAAGUUGUUCGUUGUUCUACUUUGUUUUUCUUACUCUGAUCCAUAUCAUUUGGUAUUAGAGCCUAGUUUCGAUCGACCCCAUGGCUGAAGGCAC
rnacentral:lncRNA from 1 species